rnacentral:lncRNA from 1 species
GGCAAUCUGCUCGUCUUGGCCUCCCAAAGUGCUAGGAUUACAGGCGUGAGCCACCGCGCCCCGCCUCCUCUGGUAACUUUCAUGUGACCCCAUUUUACAGAUGAGAAAACUGAGACUUAAGUUUGGACACUUUGUCCUAGGUCAUGCAGCUGACUACAUUUAGGAACUGCGAAUGUUCAUUUAUGUAAAUACUUCUGCUUUAGCAGUGCCUCUUCCAUGAGGUAAUGUGUGUAAAAGCUUUCUUGUAGUAGAGCCAUAUAAACACGAAGCAUUGUUAUUCAUUUUGCUGGACUUUUGGCUCCAUCCAGUUCAGCCUGCAGCAUUUAGGGAGUCCAGGAAGGGGUGAGGGCAGUAAUUAAAGCCUAAAGGCCCAAUGGCCUCUCGGAAUUCCCUGUCUAUUCUGGUUCCCUCUCCGAGGCACCUCCAGAUUUUAUCUUCUACCAAAUAGAGAGUUUGUUUCUCAGAAGUUGCAGGAUGUGGGCGGUUAAAAAAAAAAAAAAAAAAAAAAAGCAGCAUCAACAACUACAAAAACCCCAGCAGCAGCCUAAACACAAAAGAGUCUGAAUUUUGAACAAAGGGCAGGGUGAGACCUGAAAGUAAACGCUGAAACAUCCUCUCCCCAGCUGUGAACUGGGGGUCUGAGGGCUGCAGCAAAGGUCAUCUGUCUCUACAUCUUUAGGCAGGAAAUGCAAUUCAAUCCUCCCAGUGACUGAUCACUUCGCAAGAUUAAUGGAAUCAUCUCCAACACUGGUCCCUGUUCCAACAGCACAAAAAGUGAAUCAACCUUCUCNNNNNNNNNNNNNNNNNNNNNNNNNNNNNNNNNNNNNNNNNNNNNNNNNNNNNNNNNNNNNAAUAUUGUGGAAUAUUUCAUAAAUACAAUAGAAUCUGAAAAAUAUUUAACUAUACUUUAAGGAACAGUCUCAGAUGCCCAGCAGGUGGAUUAAGAAACAGGAAGUCACUAGUAUCUCUGUUCACAUUCCUUUCCUGAAUGGUCUUUUGCAGCAUUUUGUGUUAAUCAUUCCUUGCUUUUAUUCCUGUUUUGCGACUUAUGUAUCUGUAUCUAAAGAAUAUUUAGCCUGUAAUCCCCCACUUUGGGAGGCUGAGGGGUGGAUCACUUGAGCUCAGGAGUUUGAGAACAGCCUGGGUAACAUGGCAAAACAGAGUCCCUACAAAAAGUACCAAAAUUAGCUGGGCCUGGUCUUGCAUGCCUACAAGUCCCAGCUACUCAGGAGUCUGAGGUGGGAGCAUUGCCUGAGCGCGGGAGGUGGAGGCUACAGUGAGCUGUGAUCGCACCA